rnacentral:misc_RNA from 1 species
AACGCACAUUGCGCCCCUUGGUAUUCCGAGGGGCAUGCCUGUUCGAGCGUCAUUUCACCAAUCAAGCCUGGCUUGGUAUUGGGUGCCCGGCCCGCCCCCCGCGGUGGGCCCGCCCGAAAUGCAUCGGCGAGGAAACCGACCCCCGGCGUGUUAAGAAUCUCACAGUUCGAACGUCGGGAGCACCGGUGGCCUCCGCCGCAACCUCACAUCAAAGGUUGACCUCGGAUCAGGUAGGGAUACCCGCUGAACUUAA